rnacentral:lncRNA from 1 species
ACUAUGGCAUGGACCCUCAUCCUCGAGCCCCACUACUCAGAGGAGCUGGGAAGAAUUUCCACCCUUCCUAGUGGCAAGUCUCACUGUGAGAGCGGAGUGCCACCAGGCAAACAGGGCAGAAAGACUGCUUUAAGGAGAAUCCUUAUAUUGGGGGUUAUGAAGUGCAAUACACCCUCAUCCUCACGCUAACACUGGUACCAUGUAGCCCAAGCUUGUCUAACCUGCAGCCCGCGGGCUGUGUAUGGCCCAGGACAGCUCUGAAUGUGGCCCAACGCAAAUUUGUAAACUUUCUAAAACAUUAUGAGAUUUUUUUUUCUCAUCAGCUAUCAUCAGUGUGAGUGUAUGUUAUUUGUGACUCAAGACAAUCCUUCUUUUCCAAUGUGGCCCAGAGAAGCCAAAAGACUGGACACCCCUGAUGUGGCCCUUUCAUCCAUAGUAGCCUAUUUUGUCCUAAAGACGGUCUUGUGCAGUGAGUAGGCCAGGCCUCCCCACUACCACAGUUUACAGGCAAGGAAUGUGAUAUUUCAUAGGAUGACCCUGACUGGCACCUACAUUGCUAGCCAAAGAAUGGCACAAAGAUGUGGACAGAAGAGACAACCUUAAGCAGCUGACUGCUGGCUCCUGCAACAGUAUCAUCAUGGCAUUUGUCCUGGGGUCCCAAGGAAAGAAAACAAAUCUGUGGCUGAGGAACAGACUGAGUUGACAAAGCAGCUUCCACAGUAACACAAGGACAAAGGGUGUAUGUAGAUAUGCACGUGGUAGCAGGUUCUACUAAAGGAACCUGGACCGACCAUUCUCACUCACAUUCUUUGGGAGCUGUAUUCUAAUACUUUCAGAAAAGCCAUGGGAACACACCAGAGUGACUGCUCGAGUAAAUAAGUAGCAUAAACAGCAAGCCAAACCAUUGAUGUACACAUCACUGGGCCCAAUACUAUGAAAUCCCACAUAAGAAACUUGAAAGUGAAAGCUGGAAUUCUGAGGAUACUGGUUUUGCUUAAUAAACAGCAUUUCAACAGUUAUUGUCAUGAUAUUGCUACUGAUGCUGAACAAAGACCCAAGAACCAGGGUGAUGUUUAGCAUGGGCUGGCCUCAGCAGGACUGAAAGGACAUCAAUAAGGGAGAACAGAGAGAAGGAAGGAGGACAAGUGCCAACUUUGAGCAGGUAUCAGGUGUAUGUGGGGGCAAACCAUUUCUCCGUCCACCCUGAUGAUGAGUCCCCGUUUCCCUUUUUAAGGCCUGAUUUUUGCACCCUCACCCCACCUAAGGCAGCCAGGGGCCCACACUGCAAUACUCCUAGGUAACAUCCAUACUUUUUUUUUUUUUUUGAGAUAGAGUCUCCCACUGUCACCCAGGUUGGAGUGCAAUGGCGAGAUCUCGGCUCACUGCAACCUCCGCCUCUCAGGUUCACGUGAUUCUCCUGCCUCAGCCUCCAGAGUAGCUGGGAUUACAGGCGCACACCACCAUACCCGGCUAAUUUUUUGUAUUUUUGGUAGAGACAGGGUUUCACUAUGUUGGCCAGACUGGCGUCGAACUCCUGACCUCGUGAUCUGCCCGCCUCGGCCUCCCAAAGUGCUGGGAUUACAGGCGUGAGCCACUGUGCCUGGCCAACAUCCAUACUCUUGAUCUGUUCCUCCACCCACAGCACUGCUUAUCUGGCCAGGCUCUCGUUCCUUCAUUACACAGCUUUCUGCUGGGAAGCAGAUAACUAAUAUAAAGAUGAUACUAACGAUUAAUGGAGGCUUCAUGGAGUCUCCCAGAAAUAUCACGUUUGUGGUUAAUAUUCCAAAGGCUACUGGUAGGGAUUUCUCAAUCUAACAUGAGUCUGAAAAAGAGAUGAUUUUCAUCAGAGCUAUUCUCGGGACUCUUUAAAUCAGGCCCUCAAGUGCUUAUCUUCUUUGCCUAUGUUUAGAGUCAAUCCUUAAAGCAAGUAAACAGUGUCCCCAUAUAUUUAGGAAUUCUCAAAAUCCUUGGAUUUGUUCAUACUAAGCUACUGUUAUACUCAUUUUUUAAAAAAAUUUUGGGCUCACUUUUCACCAUCUGCAUAAUGGGCAUAUAACAUAAAUCCAUUCUGUAUCACUUAAUCAUGUCUUAUCCUAGAUGAAUAAACACAUGAAAAAUCAGCCUGUAAAUCAGAGAAUGUAGCUGUGUUAACUGGAGAUGGGAAAGGGGAGCAGGUAGAAUUAAUAUUACCAUUAGUCAUGACUAAAGCCAAACUUAGCAGUUUUAAAACUAUUUAACCAUCCUGAUUGUAUAUUGGAAUCAACUGGGAAUUUUUCUUUUAACUACCAAUUCUUAGGCCCCAUCCCGAAAGAUUCUGAUUCAAUUGAUAUGAAGUAAGAUCUGAGCAUCAGAAUUUUUGUUUACAGUUCCUAAGGUAAUUCUCUUGUGCCACCAAGACUGAGAACCAGUGUUUUAAAAUAGUAUUGGGAAUACACAGUAGGUGAAAAACUGGCAUCAUAUUAGGUGGGUCUUGGUUGUGAUCAUGAGCUGAGGAGAGCUCUAUAUUCUGGAAGCACUCAGCAACGGAUGUUCAAUGGGGUUCACACCAUGGUUGCAGUUUGGGGGAAAGAACCCUUGGAGAGAAAGCAAGAACCACAAGAAUCACUGAAUCAUGGGUUAGAGGAGCCCUCCAAAAUCACCUCCUUCAAUCCUCUUCCUAAUUUCUGUGUGAGCACUGGCCAUUUAAUUUAUGUUUCUGGGCCUCAGUUCCCCUGUCCGUUAAAUAAACAGGUUGAAUUAAAUACAAUCAGAGUGUUUUCCAGUUUUUAUCCUAUGAUUCUAAGAGAGUUUCCAGCAUCAGAAGAAAUAGAAGCUACAGUUACACAGCUGUGUCGAUAUUCUCUCCUGGGACAUCAUCUGAGCCACAAGCCCCCUGGCUCCAGCCUCUCUGCUGCUGCUGGCCAGAUGCCACCCUGAGCUUCUGAGUGGCAGCUGGAGCUCCACCCUCAGGGCCUCCCUCCCAUCAUUCUCUGGCAGGAUGAAAGGUUUUGUGUAAUUCUUGUAAAUGCAGCCCAUUUUAAUUGCAGAAGCAGCCUCCAAGUGUUUUCUCUGCUCUCCGGCAAGCACGUGACCUGACCACUGCUGCUAUCUGGAAAGGAAGUGGUGGAAUGUGGAAGUUUACAGGGCGUUCGUGUACACGCAUCUUCUGGCCCAGAGCCCGUGGAAUCCAGCCAGCAGUUGCUGUGCCACUGUGUUCUCUGGCCUCCCCCUCUCAGCGGCCUUGGGCAGCCUGGGAAUCUCCGGCUUCGUGCUUUUCUGAGGGGACAGGCCUUUGAGCAGAGUUUUAGGAAGUUGGUCAAAACAACAACAACAACAAAAUGUUUAUAGUUUACAUCCUUUGCAGCUGUCUAUGCACUAGGAAUGCCACACAUGGUCUCUCCAGACUGCAGGCUCUGAACAGAAUCCACUGGAAGGGGAUCAUCCCAGCCAAUACCCUAGUACAAAUUGUCCUAUCCAGUGUACAGACUUACUGGAAAAGCAUCAUAUCUGCCCCAAACUUAAGAUAAGAGUACCCUGAUAAGGGACAUGCUUGAGGCUGUGACAGAAAAGGAGUUUGGGAGGGAAGAGGGCAAGGGGUUUUCAAAUGCACAUUGAUGACCUUUCUGGGUUCUCAGCUCAUGAGCAAAGAGGAGAGCGGCUAACAUAAAGGUGAGGGUGUGGCUGGGAAAAAGGCAAAGUUGAUGGAGUCCUUUCCAUGGAAGGGCUCUGAAAGUACAGGUAGGAGCUGCAGAGUCCAACAGCACCCCUUGACACAGGUCAGUCUCCAGAUAUUGCCUUCUAGAACCUGGUCCUUUGGUCCAGGUGAGACCUGGAGCUACCCUGUCAUGCAAUCACAUGCAUGCCUUUUGAGGGCAUUAAAACAGUGCCAUCAGACUCCAGAUCUUCUUUUCUGGCCCUCAGGGGCUCCCUCCUCCCAGCCUUUUUCAGCAGGAUGAAGGGGUUUGUGUGACCCUUGCACUCAUAAGGUCCCAGGGUCCUAAAAAAAAACCCUGUUUCUUGUCUUCUCCUUGUAUGCAAGGUGGCACAGGAGCAAAUAGUAGCAACUUAAGCGAGCCAAACUCUUCUCUUGAUUGUGAAGAGGGAUUGACACUUGCAGGCUAGGCUGUCUAGUGCUUCUGAGGCCAACAGCUGCUCUGUUGUCUCAUAAUACUGGUGGAAAAAAGUAGAAUGAGAGACACUGCCAGACCAGGAGGUAGUUGGGAUUCAAACGUGGCACUUCCACUCAGCACGAGCUCUGGCUCCCGGACCCAGUAAGGGCCAAUGACACGGGCCUCAAAACAGACUUGAGAGCCUCCUCUUUGCAUCUUCAGACAAAUGUUUUCUUUGGAAAUUGUGACAGCAGCCACUUCCAUAUUCAACUCUGUUUUAGCCCCCAAAGAGUCAGUGUGAGGAAUCCGUGGGAGAACACAAGGAUAUGUGCCUGGCAGAAAUGCAGGCACUCGCCAACGUAAGUCAGGUGGUCAAUAAGUGUUUCCAUGUUUGCUAUCCUGUUAUUUAAAAACACCUAAAACUCAGGAAUCCCAAUAUUUUAUUGCUUUUCUUACGAAUGUUCCAGAUGAGUUUCCCCUCAAUCUUCUGCAAGCAGGCCUAGAUAGGAAUGCCGUAGGAGUCGCCCUCCUUCUCCAUCAAUCUGGUCCUCAAAGGGGCUGGCGUUGGUAGAGCAGGGCCUGAGUAGCAGGACCAAGAAAUGCUGAUGCUACUGUCUGUACUUUCACUCUGUGGGUAAUAAGUCCUGGCCAUAGGAAGGGAGGACUAACCAGAGUGAAGAAGACAGAGAGAAAAAGGAAUGACAGAGGAGGCCCAUGUGCUGGGAAGGCUAAACUCUCACUGCAGCAACCAUAGAUUCCAAACCACUGAUUAAGCCACGGGGCUUCAAGAGUUCAAGCACAUUUAUGGGAGCAGUGGGAUGAAAGAUAUAAAUUUGGUACAGGUAAUACCUCCUGGGCAACUGGGUCAGGGGUCUCCGGAGCUGAAAGCACACUUGGGAACAUCUAUUGAUCUUUGUUUUUAUCUCAUCAUUAUUCAGUUACUGUUCUGUGAAUUUUAUAAUAUACAUUAUGGAGUACUAUAGUAGUACAUAUAUAUAAUUUAUAAAUAAAUAAAUAUAUUGGGGGGUGUAUGCUCAAACAUUUUCUGUUGAUGAGUUACCCAGUCAAAAGAGCUUGGAGACCAUCCAAUUAGAAUGAUAACAACAAAAAAAGACUCAACCAACCUACCUAGAGGUCCGGGGCCUGACCAGGGCCUCUGCCAAGCUGGCUUGACAUAGAAGGGGAAGAAUCAGCUGUCCACUGGGAAAGCCCCUCUCCCACCUAUCAUCUAGUGCCUGUUGUCCCUUUAAGGGUAAAAUCACUUGCAUUUUGGUGAAACAGGAAAAAAGAAACUAUUAUCAUGAAAAUUACUGUCUAAAACCACAACAAAUCCUAUCAUAGUAGGAAGCGUUUGUUCCCAGGCCCUCCAUACACAAUUAAAAAGCAAGUAGGGACUAGAUUACCUCUUCUCAUGUAAUUCCCACAGCAAUUGUGUGAAAUACAGAAGAAAUGGGGGCUCCGCAAGUAUAGAAACACCUGUCCCUGAAAGGCAAGUCAGGACUGAAAUUCAGCCCAUGCCCUGCUCAGCAAGCCACCUGCCCCAAGGAAGGAGUGUCUUUUGCUAAUUCUCACAAAGGUGCCGUAUGGAUUAGCAAUAGCCUUUUUUUUUUAAUUUUUGCUUUAUUUGAAUAUAAUUUUCUCAUCAAUUUUGCUUGCAUAAAUACAGUUUGUUGCU